ensembl:lncRNA
GUAGAGACUCAGGUGUUGAUCACUUUGUGACCAUAUCUGUCCCCUCCUUUUUCUCAGGUUUGCUCAUGUGUUUUCAGACACAGGCAAGUAUGUGUUUGUUGACAGCGCUGUCCCAGAGUGGAGUAUGGUGGUGGUGGUCAGCGAGGAGGGGACAGAGUGUGACCGUCGGGCUUCAGUCUUCCAGCCCAUGACCCCGGUACAGCUGGUCAAGUAUGGGAUUGUCAAGCAGCACAGACUCAACCUUCUACCUGACUGGGGAGUGAUAGCAGGUGUGUGUCCCUACUGUUCACCUCAUGUUUUAUCAUGCAGGAACAUGACUGUAAUGAGUUAACCCCCUGCUUUUUUUUUAUCAUGACACAAUACUAACUGUGUGUAGGGAUCCUGAGUCUGCUGCUGGUUGUUGUUGUGGUUGUCACCACCACAGUGCUUGUCCUGCGACCUGGCAAAGUAAAACUUGUCUCCCAGUGGAGGACAAAGCCAAAGUGGCGCAGCCUCGGGGAGCCCUUCUGUCCAGUGGAUAGUGUUUACAGUGGAGAAAGCAUAGCUGUUCCAAGUCUAGGAGACUUCUUAGGCAGUAGGGGUGUAGGAGAGGGAGCAGAAGCUGAGGAGCCUGCUGUUUCGAAAGGAGGAAGUGUGUCAGGCUACUGUGAUUUAGAGGAGUUCAACGUGAAGACUCUGUACGACAAACUAGAGGACCAGAACCUCCACAUAGCCUCACAGCUUGCCCGACACCGCAAAGACACGCAGGAGUUUUAUAGGAACAUUUGUCAGCAGACUGAAACCAUCAAGGUGAGUUGAACUGUAGCAUAGAAAGAAGUAGCCAUUAUAUAUCUAAUAUUGAAAAUGUGUGACUCAAGUGUCACAAGAAAAAGACGUAAAUUUUUUUUUCUUCUUUCAGAAUGUCUUUGAAAAUAUGGAUAAUAAAAAACUGAGUCAUCUUAAGGAGCUGCUGGUCCAUAAUGCACUGAGAGAUAAACCAUCUAACAGCAUCACAGGAGAAAGAGAUGCAAAUGGUAAAUAAUGAAUAAUGGUGACACGGUGUGCGAUUUCAUCAAAGAAACCGAGCUGAAAAACAAUUUCUUCUUCUAUUAAAGAAAAAGGCAGUUGGUUGAUUAAAGAAAUGUUCCCCAGAUACAUACGAACAUAUACAUAACGGGAACAUGAAAAUGAGCCCUAUGCUCCCCAGUUCUUCUUAUGUGCUCCUCCAGGUUCCUAUGUUCCCACAGUCCUCUGUUUCCAAGGUUCUGUAUUUCCCGCUCUGGGUUCAUGGUUAUGGUUAAAGUUAAUGCUCUUCAACCUGAACACAAUAGUAGGGUUAAUCUGUGUUAACAUAAACUGGGGAAUUUAGGACUCUGGAAACACUGAACCUUGAGAAUUUCUGACCAUGUGAAAAUAGGACCUUGGGAACUUAAGAUAUUGGCAAGUUAAGACCCUGGGAACAUUGGAGCAUUGGAACCUACGACACUGGGAACAUAGGAAGUUUGAAAAAUGUAAAUUGGUGGUUUUGCAAAAGGUUGUAUGUUGUUUGAUCAAAUAGGAUAAUACUUUUUUAAGAGAGCUGCUGGGAGGUGAACUGUUUUAAGUCUAAGUGUCUGCUGGCUACAUUGGAUACAAAGACAUUCAUUGUAUUGAUCUUCUCAUCUAACUCUUAGUGAGUAAGAUAACAAACAUUGUAUUACCUGCAAUAUUUAAGCUUUAUCACAUUUUAUGCCUGAAUGUGUGAAACAGACGUGCUCAAAUUCUUUCUUUCCAAUCACCUGUUGUUGUUUUUUUGAAAGCCAAAAAAAACGGUCACAUCCUUUAUUAAAUCUGUUUGUCUCAUCACCAUCACCCCAGCUGAGGCUUCAAUAGCGUUACUUGGAGCUGUUCUCAGGUCAGUGGAAGCUCUACUAUGUAGGCUUACAGGGGAGGCUUGGCAGAACCAGGAUUUGCCUGUUCGCCCGUACUGUCAGUCGGAUCCUCAUGAUGGUAGGGAAUGUGAGCAGCAAGCUGGAUACACACAUCACGGUGACACCAACAUGUGCUAUACACAGGUAAUGUGUCGUAGUCUUCUGUUUGCAGCAUAUUUUGGAAUAAUUCAGUUGAGAGUCAUUUCCG